GACGGGGGGGGCAAGUGUUCUUCGGAAUGACUGGACGUAAAGGGCACGUAGGCGUGAAUCGGGUUGAAAGUGAAAGUCGCCAAAAAGUGGCGGAAUGCUCUCGAAACCAAUUCACUUGAGUGAGACAGAGGAGAGUGGAAUUUCGUGUGUAGGGGCGAAAUCCGUAGAUCUACGAAGGAACGCCAAAAGCGAAGGCAGCUCUCUGGGUCCCUACCGACGCUGGGGUGCGAAAGCAUGGGGAGCGAACAGG
rnacentral:rRNA from 1 species